GAAAUGCGAUAAGUAAUGUGAAUUGCAGAAUUCAGUGAAUCAUCGAAUUUUUGAACGCACCUUGCGCUCCUUGGUAUUCCUUGGAGCAUGCCUGUUUGAGUAUCAUGAAAUCUUCAAAGUAAAUCUUUUGUUAACUCAAUUGGUUUCUACUUUGGUAUUGGAGGUCUUUGCAGCUUCACACCUGCUCCUCUUUGUUCAUUAGUUGGAUCUCAGUGUUAUGCUUGGUUCCACUCGGCGUGAUAAGUUAUCUAUCGCUGAGGACACUGUAAAAGGUGGCCAAGGUAAAUGCAGAUGAACCGCUUCUAAUAGUCCAUUGACUUGGACAAUACUUUUAUGAUCUGAUCUCAAAUCAGGUAGGACUACCCGCUGAACUUAAGC
rnacentral:misc_RNA from 1 species